UUAGUUUUGAUUAGUUUAAAUCUUUAAACAAUGGCAUGAAAGGAUCUUUGACUCCUUAUUUAAAUAUAUUCAAUUUAAUUAAAUCUUAUGUUCUUCACAUUAUAAAACGCUUUUUUUUGAAAAUAGUGAAUUGUCAGAUGGCUAGUGACUAACAGUUUGUUGCAGUGCUAGAAGAAAAAUAGUUGCACUGUUUCCCCCAAUCGAGUUUCGAGAACCACGGGUGUUCCUCGAUGUCCUUGAUUCCAUUCUUCAGACAACCCAGUCGGUCGAUCGACAGAGGUCUGCAGAGCCGUUUGAUCAGAUUUCUCGCUCUAGGGGAUAUCGCUGCAGGAAAAACGACCGAAUCGAUGCCCUUCAGUAUGAGUUUUUAAGAUUUCGAAAAUGAAGAUGCCUAGCGCCCAGUAGUCUACGCCUUUAUCGUGGGGUUUGUUUUGUAUAAGUUCCGGAGACACAUACUCUGCCGUUCCGACGAAUGAGUUCGCUUUUUCAUUGGGGUGUACUAUCCUAGAGAAGCCGAAGUCCGUUAGUUUCAGGAGUUCGAGUAGGCUCAAGGAAAUGGUAAUGUGAAGCAUACUUUACAAGUAGGACAGGUCAGCGCUUCUCCUUUCUCGACCAUCCCCUCCAACAUGUCCUUCGUCCUUUUAGCGUCCUCGUCGAUUUCAGACUCGGACUUCAUCUUUUCCUGAUACUGCUUGCAGUUCAUACCGACGGGACAUUUAAAAUCGUUGACGUUGUCUUCAAAAAUACACCAUCCCUUGCAGUCAGGAGUUUUGCAGUGGAACGAUUUGUCAGUCAUGUUUUCCGCCUGAGCAACCGACUUCGCUAAGUACUGCUCGUACAUCGCCGA